rnacentral:misc_RNA from 1 species
AAAGAAGAACGUGCCUCCAGUUACAUUAAAAAUUGAAGGAGCUUUCAUUGCCGAAUUGUCUAGAACCAUUCCUGGAUGCUGGAGUUCAAGGGAAGCAGAAGCUCUGGGAUUAAGAGAGGCUUUGGCAUGAUUAUCUCAGUACUGAUUCACAAGAGAUUUACUUUGGUUUAUGUUCAAAUGGGUAAGAUUGGACAGAAUAUGUGUU